GUGAGUGACACUGUCGUCGUUCAAUUCAUCACUGGAUUAAAAAAUGUUGCUUUAGAAAUACACAACCCAGAAGUUAAUUUACUUCUGAUGCACAAGAAAUGAUGCUUAUCAGACUGGCGAGAGCUAAAUGGCAUGAAGGGUUCUCUCUGAGGGAAAAUAUGAUUUACGUUUUCAUUCUUUUACAGUACCAGAGGAUAUUAAGGAAGUGAAUGUGAUACUCUUCGCAAAUACCCUUAAUGUAUACUGUUCUACAUACCAGCAUGUUUUCAAUGGACCCGAGAAAAUAUACAAAGCUGAAGUUGUUGACUUUGAUACACAGAAGAACAGCAACUGUGACUUUUAUUUCAAAGGUCUGGCGUACUUUAAAAACUACACAUUGAAGGUGACUGCAUACAAUGGACACUUUGAGAGCAAAGUGGCAAUCAGAUAUCUCUACGAUGACUCUAUCAUCAAUGUGAUAGUCGGCUUCACCAUCGUCUCACUUGAGGUGCUGCUUGUGGCGGCCUACGCAAUCUAUGUUUGGAGGCACAGAAAGGUUCUGAAUGAAGAUACAAAGCUGAAAUCAACAGCAAUUUAUGUCCUCCUCCUGCCUGUGGAAGACCCAACGGAGCCCGAUGAACAGACUCUCACAGACUCUGAAGUAUUGAAAUGUUUCACUUUAUAGUACACACACAGAUCAGAAAAGUGACUGAAGCAGCUCUGAAUAUGGCGCCCUGAACAAGCAAUGAUACCUCAUAUAUUCAUAGAUGAUGCUACUUUAGCAACUAUAAUCACUGACGUAGUUUUCUGCCUCGGAGCAUCUGAUCAAUGUUAUAACAAGGAUCUUUAUGAGCACACUGUGUAACCAAUGAGCUUCUUAUCCAUUAUUAAUCUCCCAUGUAUCACCUAGUAUCCUGUAACAUUGUUUGCAUCACAUUUAAAUGCGUUAUCCUGAUGUAUGUAUGAAUUUAUCUGAUUGUUUUUGCAGCUCUCUUCUCCUUCUAUCGCUUUUUUUCUGUCUCUCCACUGGGUCAACCUCAAACAGAUGUAUCCCCCGUUCUGCUCGAGGUUUCUUCUUGUUAAGAGGGACUUUUUUCUUGCCAAAGUGGCUUCAUUGCUUGGUCUGUAGGUUUCAGGCUUUGGAUUCUGUAAAAGCUCCUGAGAUAUAGGUGUAUAUGUGUUACUGAGGCAAUGUAAAUAAAAAUAAAUAAAUA